rnacentral:lncRNA from 1 species
GCAAUUCAAACCUUCAUAAAACCAAUCUAAACACAUGCUAUUUCAUUCAUAUUUGGUGCAUCGAGAUCGACGAUCUACAUGUGGGCCCCGAGAUCAUUACGUAUAACGAUGUCAUAACUUGGGUUUCCGACCAAAAAGGCGUAAUCAUUUCCAUCAUCCGUUACAUCGAAGUCACUAAAAUCAUCACCUUCGUGAUUAGAACGACCAUUAUUAUCGGAUUCAUCUUCACCAUGCGCAUCGAUCUCAAUAAUGACUAGGGCUCCGAUUGUUUCACUGAAAAUGGUUUCUGGAAAAUGAUUUCUGGAAAAUGACUUACUUUUCUGGAAAAGCUAAUAUUUUCUGGUGUUUGGAUGAAUCUGUGUGAAUUGUUUUCUUUUGUUUGGCAGGUUCUUUAAAAAUAUUUCAUAAAAGUCGUUUUCAAUUAAACAAACAUACAUUUGAUAUUUUUUUCAUUUUUUAAUUAAGUUUAUUUUAUAUCUAUAAUUUCAUAUUUUACAUUGUUUUUACAUAUAUUAAAAAUAUUUUGUUAAAUUUAGGUUCAUUGCAACGAUUAUUUUUUAGUUACAUGACUACCAGCUGAGUAUUUUUUUUACUUAAAAAUGUGACUUUAAAAAAAUUGACAAAAAAAAUCAACAAUGUCAGCAGUUAGACUUGGUUUUCAAAUCUUUAAAGUAGAGGGAGUAAAUUCUUGAAAAUAAAAGUACAGAAACUAAAUUGCAAAUUUGUGAAGAGUAUAUAGACUUAUGACAUAUUUUAACAUUUAUACUACAAAACAUUUAUUAUUAAUAUAUUUAUAAUUGUAAUAAAUAUUUAGUAUUAAAAUAUUAAUAUUGAUAUUUUCAAUAAUAUGUGAAUAAUAUUAUUUAAAAUUAUUAUUUUUAAAAUUUGCUAUUAAAAUAAAUUUUAAAUAUUAAAUAAUUUAUUAAAAAUAAUAAAUUAUAUUAAUUAUAUUAAUAAUUUAUUAUAUGACUAAAUAUAAAUAAUUAAAUACGUAUGUUUAAUAAUAUUUAAAAAUAUAAUAUUUUAUAUUAAUAUUUUAAAUAUUUUUAAAAAUAAAAAUAAAUUUUAUUAUCAAUAUAAUAAUAUUAAACUUGAUUUAAGUUAAUUUUUAUAUAAAAGUAAAAUCAUCUAUUGAGGAGCUCUUUUCUGGAAAAUGACUUACACUUUUCAAAAGGGUAAGUCAUUUUACAAGGAAAAAGGCUCAUUUUUCGUUGACCUGUAAGUCAUUUUCCGUUGACCAAGUUGUUUUCUGUGAAACAAACACAGGAAAAUGCAGAAAACAUUUUUCGUAAAACAUUUUACAUGUAAACAAACGGACCCUAGAUGUAUCUGUAAAGCAACAUGGUGUGGAUUUUCGGUCCAUGUCAAUAUGGCUCCACCACCGUACUAGUCCGAACAUCCAACAUUGAGAUCGAUGUUAAAACUGCGCAUAGACAACCUCCUAUCGACAGACACUCUAGAAACCUUUGUACACGGGUCUUUAACACCAUACAUGUUUGGUUGAGUGUAUUGGCAUAGCCAAUACACCCCUAAUCGGUGGGGCCUACUUAAGACGCCUCUAUGCCGUUGUUUGGUUCGUGGUUUUUCUAUUACGGCUGUAAUACGCGACUAACUUAAUCGGUGAAAUCCACCGAUUUCUAAUACACCCCAUUUGCUCAGAUUAGGCUCCGCAUAGGUUUACCAUCCCUGUUAUACCCUCCCAUCUGCUUCCCCGUUUCUCUUCUGUUCCUUCUAGCCUCUGCCAAAUUCGUUGUUGGCAAGUUAAUCCCCUCCAGAUUUGUUUCACUCUGCUGAUUCUGCAUGUAAUCGGUUUCCCCUUUUCUGAUUACAGCUUCUUCUUCAUCGCACUGUGCCCGAAUUUGGUCAUUUACAGGUUAGUGUUUUGGGUUUUUAAGCUUUCCAUUCCUCCUAAUUUAUUCCUCUUCUUGGUUGCCUUGCCUGCGCCUAGUUAUCGCCAUUUCUGCUUCUUUCCAGGCUCCACUCAAGGCUUCAAUCUAUUUCAAAGGAAAUCCAUAUUCAUUACAGGUUAACUAAACCUUCAAUUUACAAGCCAUAUGUAAUCAUGUUUCAUUUUUUUUUAAUUUUGGGUCUCUGUAAGAUUUGUUCUUUUUGGGGUUUUGAAUUCUUUUUAUUGUUAUGUUUAGUUAAUCCUUGAAUUUAUGUUGUUUAGAGAUGGUGAAUUUAACAGAAGUAAUAUAGUUGAUGUCAGUAUUCAUGUCUGUGGAAGAAAUGAUUAGAAGAGUUAAUUAUAACAAGAGAAAUGGAAAUAAGGUACAAUUCACUGCGUUAAAAACAGUACCUUUUCGUUGAACAAAACUCCACCAGUAGGGUUAUAUUUGUCGAUAGAUUUAUGGAUGAAUGCCUUCAAGUCUGGACUGUUUUCUAUCUCAAGAAUCUUUAAGGCUGGGAAGUUAACAGUAUAAUCUUCAUGGAAAAAUCCAAUGAGUUUCUGAAGAUCUUUCAAUUUGAGGGAGUUCAAUCGAGGGAAGCAAAUUAAUCCUCUGUUUUAGAAUGUUUCUUCGAUCUGCUUCUCCAUUGAUAUUAUCUCCUGCAUGCAUUUGCAUUCACUUACUUCCAAGAAAAUUGAUGGUAAUUUGAAUUACGAAAUAGAUUCAGUUUAAAUAGUUUCUUGGUUUGCACGUUGAAGGAAAUUGGGUUCUUUUCUUGGAGCAUUUGUGAUUUACUUUUGUAAUACUUGUUGUAAAUCUGUUCAUAAGGAACUCAUAAAUGCUAUGGCAUUUACAAUAAUUUUCAUAAGUUGUUCAUAAGGAUGAGGAUGCCAAGGUUUUAGGAGUUUUCUAGGGGGAUUCACUGCAGUUGAAUUUCUGUUAAAAGAUACAGCAUUCUUUGGAAUUUGAACUGGUUGCCUCUGUUUGCUUAAAUGGAUUGACCUAAUGUUUCCCCCUGAUUGUUGUAGAUAUGGAGAACAGUGCUGUUGCUGCCUUUUAAGCUCAUUACAGUAUUCUUGCAUGAAGCAAGUCAUGCAAUUGCCUGCAAACUUACCUGUGGUCAUGUAAGAAAGCCCUUUCCUUUAUCACAUGUCAUAUGAAGGGUUUAAACAUGUCUUUAAUGUGACCAUUAGAUUUUGGCUGCAUAAUUUUUCUACUAACCCAUCUUGCUGGUUUUAGUCUUUGGAUUAUGGUCUGCUCAAUUAUCAAUGUUCCUUUAUCAGCCAACUAGUCUAGUUGAAGUCCUAUAGGUGUUAUUUGGAGAUGUGCGUGUAAGAAGUGACUAUUUUUAAUGUGGCAGGCACUUGUUGAUGCCCCGGAUAUGGUAAGAGGCCAAAUGAACUUCAAGAGGCUUACAUUGACAGAUAUCACAAUUGACAUUCCACGUGUUCCCAAGAACAAAUGGGUUGAUCGAAGCUAUGGAGAAGGCUGGUAAGGACGACGACAGCUUUCACCAGCAUUUGUAAUGUUGUUUCUUGAAGAUAUGUUUUCUUUCUUAUCACUUUUAUGUUAACUUACAGAUGUUAAGAACAAAUGGGAAAGUAGCUCGUGGGGUAGAAAGUUGAUUGUCCAGAAGAGAAGAGCAUCUCUCAACGACUUUGAUAGGUUCAAGCUUAUGUUGGCUAAGAUCAAGGUCAGUUUUCGAUACACCCCCUAUUGUGUCUACCCGUUUUAUACCAGAGUUCUUUUCUUGAAAGCACUUCCUCAAAACUUCAAUCGAAGCUUGACGAGCUGUAAUACGGUUUUGCAGAGGUCUGGAGUCAUCAAGCAAGAACUUGCUAAGCUGAAAAAGGAGAAUGCAUCUUGAAUUUUAUAUUGAAUCAUGGAUUUUUGUUAGUUUUUGUCAUCAAACAUUCUGCAGGUUGUUCUUUUUUUGUAAUUUUUUCUUUUAUUUACAAAUGAUUAAAAAGAUUAAAGAUCAGUUGAGAGAUCUUUGUUUGCUAUAUUACAUAUUUUAUAGUGAGUUUAAUAGCAGGAUAUUGCUUUGCUUGCUGCAAUUUUUCGUAUCAAAAUUCUGGUAUUUAUUUAUAUUCCCUUUAUAGCAUAAUGAAAAAUAAGACACUUAAGCUGUUUAAGUUUAUAAGCUUCAAAAUAAAAAGUUUUGAUGUAUUGUUUAGAGAAACUCGAGCUGCUCAAGCUAGAUAUCGAGUUAAUUAUCUUACCUUAAUUUAUGUGUGUAUAUACUAAGUUUUGCUGAUAAUAAAUAUUAACCAUUCAUUCAGAUAAUUUUCCUAUACAUAUGUAUUUGUGUAUAUAAAAUCAUGCAUUUAUAAAGUAAUAAAACACUGUCCAAUACAACCAAGCAUUUGGUUUAAAUGAUUGAUACAUGAUCAAAACAAAAAGAAUAAGAAACAAAGAAUGAGUAACAAACAGUUACAUGUUAAUUUUAAUAUUAAUUAUUUCAAAUGAUCUUUUAUUAAAUGCAUAUAAGAAUUUGAGUAAAUUAUAGUAUCAUAUAUUAUGAUUUGAGUAAAUUCAUAUAAGAAUAUUGAUUAUUAAGAAUUUUAUUAAAUUAUAUAUUUUAAUUAUAAUAUAUUUAAUAAUAAUUAUGUUAAUUUAUAUUUUAUAGUAUCAUAUAUUAUGAUUUGAGUAAAUUCAUAUAAGAAUAUUGAUUAUUAAGAAUUUUAUUAAAUUAUAUAUUUUAAUUAUAAUAUAUUUAAUAAUAAUUAUGUUUAAAUAUGAUUAAAUUAUUUAUUAUUGAUAUUAAUAAUCUUAUUAAAAUUUAAAUAACAAUAACAAUAAUCAUUUACCAAAACAAAUUUAUGCUAAGGGUAUUCUAGUCAUUUUAGUUUUUUCCAUUAUGCUAUUACACCUCUAUUCCAUUCAACCAAACACAAGAUUACUAUUACGCCUCUAUUCCAUUACAUUCAACCAAACAGUUGAUUUGCUAUUACACCUCUAAUCCAUUACACCUCUAAUCCAAUACACCUCUAAUCCAAUACAGCGAACCAAACGUGUUAUUAACUUAGCGGAGUUACAUCUUCAACCAGCUCCGCAUCGGCUAACUUAGCAAACAACUGAAUUUGUUUAGUGUUCACCCUCUCUGGUAAGCAAUACAAUGCGACCAUUGUCUCGAGGUCGGAAAAUUUGAUAGGAUUUGACAAAACUAAAAAUUUGUAGAAUAGUUCCGACAUCCUCCUUACAUAAGCAGGGAAUUUUUUUCACUAAUCUUUUCUUUUAUAUCAUCGACGGACACAUUUCUAUCGAACCUCAUUCCUAUUUUCUAACGAGUUUCAAAAAUACAAACCAACGAUAGUUUCUAAAAUAACACCAUCGAAAUUAAUAGCUACAAAAAAUUGGUUCUCCACUUUUUUCUAAAACUGCAAAAAUACAACCAAAAAAAUAAACAAACACUACAAAAUAAACCUACACAAUUCUAAUAAUUUUCAUAGUGAACAUACCUUAGGACUAAUAAAUAAACUUUUGGCACAAAUCUAAACUAAUAAUAAUAAUGAUUAUUACAAAAAAAAUUAAUAUUACAAACUAAAAUAUAAAUAAUUCUAAUAUUACAAAAAAAUAUUAAAAUACCUUUUUUUCCGACGGGGGACCUACCUCCUCUUUUUUUUUUUCUGCUGUGGCUGGAUGUUAGUUUUUUUCUUAACAGAUUGUUGUUUUGUUUUGGGGGGAUGAAACCAACCCCUUUUAUAAUGAAAUAUUUAAUAUAUAUAUAUAUAAUUUAAACAAUAGAUUUAAAAGAAAAAACUUGAAAUAUCAGGUUUUAAGACCUAGACCCGCGAUUGACGGGUCACAUCGGUGACAGGCCUUCAGGCCGGUGUCGGCUUGUCAAUCACGGGUCCGAGUCCCAAUACUCAAUAUUUUAAACUUUUUUUUAAUUUAAUAAAUAAAUAAAUAUUAAAAUAUUAAAUAAUUUCGGUGCUGCCUAACACGUCGUCGACACCAUUAAAAUAUAAUUUUUUAACAAGAGACGAUAUAAAUACAUGGGCAAUAUAAUAUCGGUGUCGUAAAUUACUAAGGCGGAACCAAAGAAAUUUUUUAUAUACUUUCCAAUUAUCAUGUCAAUCAUCGCUGCUAGGGGGAGGUUGGUGCCGCCGAUUGGUCGGGCAGCACCGUUUUAUACUGUACAUUUUGCCUAUAUUUAUAAAUAAUGGUCCGUUUAAUUUAUUUUAAAAAAUAAUCAAAGAAAAGAAAAAUAUCCAAAGAAAGGAAAGUUUUCAAAAGCCCAAUAUAUUUGUAUAUGUAGUGUAGCACUAGCAGCAUUAAAGGCCCAGGAGUGAAAGCCCAAGAUAGAAAAUGUGAAAGGUCUAAUUUUAAUUUUAGUCCUUAUUGAUGUUAAAAAUUUAAGAUUUAAUCAUUUACUUUAAUUUCGUAUAAUACUUUUAUAACAUUAUUAGUAAGAUUGGCUUUGGAUGCCCAGUUGAGCAUGGUUCAAUGCGUUCAGUCCCUUUGUUCUCUCGAUUGUUGUGUAAAAUAGUGUUUAAAUAAACUGUAAUGAAUUUCAGUUAAAUCUUUGUAUCGCAUUGGACUUCUUAAUUUUCACUAACGUAAAGAGCUUCGAUUGAAAAAAGCUUCUACAGUGGCAGUAUAUUUUUCCUAUACUAACCCUUACUUUUUUUAUUAAACAGAAAAAUUGCCAGCUCUCUUUAGUCUUUUCACUCCAUAGUCAUAUGGAGCUUGACCCUUUUUUUUUUCCUUCAAUUAAUUAAGUAAAUAUAUAAAAUUUAAUCCAAGUAUAAUGUAUUUUUUAUGAAAAUAAUAUUUUUUUAUUGUUAUAAAAAAUAACUAACUAUAAUAAGUAAUUAAAAUUGAUUAUCAUUUUAUAAUAAAUAAUUUAAAUUGAAUAUGUAAUUAAUUAAAAUAUUUAUAAUAAAAUAUCGAAAAAUACAUUUUAAUAUUUUAUUAAAUAAAUUUAUAAAUUUACAUAUUUUUAAUAAUUUUGUAAAUGUAAAAUAAUUUUAAAAAAUUCUAUUAUAUAUCAUUUCUAAUUUAAUGUCCCUAAUAGUUAUUUUUUAUUCUCAUCUUACCGCUAUAACUGUGUUUGAAUCCAAACACACACCCAACGCUAUUUCUAAUCUCAUAGCUACAAUAUCCAAUUUUGAACUUAAGGUAAAAUAUUAUCAAUUUAGACUUACUUAUAACAUUAUAAAAACUAUAAAAAUAAAAACCAAAUGGGGUAAAAUUAAAUAGGCUUAAAGGUGUAAAAGGCCCUCAAACUUUUUCAAAAAAAAGCAAUUAAACCCCUCCUCUUUUUUUGCACUCAAUUGAGUACUUAAUCUUUUAAAAUGCAUCAAAAAGGCCCUCAAACUUCUUCCAAAAAAAAACCAAUAAAGUCAUUUUUUUUUUCCAUUCAAUUGGGUGCUUGAACUUUCAAAAUGCAUCAAAAAGACCCUAAAAAAUCUUCAAAAAAGCAAUUAAUCCCCUGCUUUUAUUAAAAAUUAGAAAAAAUUGUAAAUAAAUAAUAAAUAAGAAAUUUUAUUUACUUUUAAUAAAAAUAUAAAAAAAUUAAGAUUUACUAAAAUUAGAAUUUUUUUUUUAUAAAAAUCGUAAAAAAUAAAAAAUGUAAAAGUUUAUAAAAAUCAUAAAAAAAUUAUAAAAUGCAUCAAAAAGUCUCUUUAACAAUUAACUUUAACUGUUGAUCGUUAAACUUUAACUUUAACGUGUCGCUAAGGGUGAGCAAAAUCCGAUUUGAUUCGAAAAACUUGAUAAAACUUUCAAAUUUUGAAUUAAAUAAUUUGAGUUAUUUGAGUUAAUCAAGUUAUUUGGAUCAACUCGAAUAAAUAAUUUGAGUUAUUUGAGUUAAUCAAGUUAUGUGGUGAAAAAUAAUAAAAAAAAUAAAAAUAAAAAUCAAUAAAAGUUGUAGAAAAUUUAUAAAAUGUUUCUUUUCGUACGAUAAUUUUUAUAAUUUUUUUACGAAAUUUAUAUUUUUUUACAUUUUGUAUAAUUUUCUUAUGACUUUAUAAAAUUUUAUAUUUUUUUACAUUUCUAUAUAUUUUAUAAUUUUUUACGAUUUUUAUAAAAUUUUACAAUUUUUUAUUUUUUUACGAUUUUUAUAUUUUUUUGUAAUUUUUGAUAAAAUUUUAAUAUUUAAAUUUUUUAUUAGAAUUUAAUAAUAUUUAUAGAUUUUUUAUUUUAACUUUUUGUAAUUUUUUUCUAAUUUUUAAUAAAAGCAGGGGUAUAAUUGCUUUUUUAGAAAAAGUUUGAGGGUCUUUUUGAUUCAUUUUGAAAGUUCAAGUACCCAAUUAAGUGUAAAACAAAUAUGAGCUUAAUUGUUUUUUUUUUAAAGGUUUUUUUUUAAUUUGAGGGCUUUUUGCACCUUUAAGUUUAUUAAAUAAAAAGAUUAAAAAUAAAAUUGUAGCAUAGUAUAAGGACUAAAACAAUAAUUAGACCAAAUAGAAAAAUCCUAGCUGAAUUGAGCUGAUAUCCCUCAGUUGCCUCCACUCUCACGUAUUUCGUCGCCAUCGCAUCGAAUAUAAGUAGCGAAUAUCCUCCUUUUUGUGCCCUUCAUUUCCAGAGAGAGAGAAAGGGCGUUCCAACAAUCUUCGUCUCUUUCUCUCGCUUGCCGUUUUUCUCUCUUAGGUUUGCUCCUGUUGUCUUUCAAUUUUAUUAAGAUUCGUCUCGUUUAGAUCCUUGUACACUCUUUUCUUGUUCAUGAUCUUAGAUUAGAUCCUGAUUUUGAUUUUGGUUUUCUUUUCUGCGAUGUCAUAGGUUGUAAAUCUGUAUAGUAGUAAAUCAUGUAGUUAGUUAGCUCUGAAAUAAAGUUGAAAGUUUUUUAACAUCUCUGUAUUGGUUAUAUCUCAUAAAUAGCUAAUGUGAUUUUAGAUCUCGAAAUAUUCGUUUUUUUUUUAUGGUUAAAUUCGUGUUUUUGAGAUUAAACUUGUUUAGAUGUCACUGUGAAUGUGUACUUUUUGGAAGACCAGAGCUUAUGUAUUUUGUUUGCUUGGCAGGUUUUGAUUCUUCUUUGUAGUUCGAGGUGUUUUAAAGACAAGUCAAGAUGGUAAGUUGAUUGAACCUUUUUCUUUUUGCCCUUUUUUCUUUUUUUGGUUUUUAUUUAAGAUUUUUCUGUGACUUCCUUUUGAUUUGAUUUGAGUUGAUGUUGGAUGUAUUACAGGUGAAGUUUACAGCUGAGGAGCUUCGUGCCAUUAUGGACAGGAAGCACAACAUCCGUAAUAUGUCUGUUAUUGCUCAUGUGGACCACGGUAUGCAGGUUUUUCUUUUUUCUUUUUAUUAUCAUUAACUUGAAGUAAAAUGAUCAAAGCUCAUUUAAUUGGUGUUUAUGGGUAUUUUUAUGGAAUUUCAUCUGUGUUUGAUUUUUUAAAAGAUGGUAAUGGUAAAAUGAAGAUGAAACCUGUAUGGAAGUUAAACUAGAUUAGUCUCAAAUUGAGAGUCAGUUUACUGCAAUAGCCCUUCAAUUGUUGAUGAUUGUCAGGUGUUACUAGUUAUUCUGUCCUUUGUGAAGUGUUGGCAUUGGUUCUCAUUUAGUUUUUGUGAUAUGCAGGGAAAUCAACUCUUACCGAUUCUCUUGUGGCUGCUGCUGGAAUUAUUGCACAAGAAGUUGCUGGUGAUGUUCGUAUGACAGAUACCCGUGCUGAUGAGGCUGAGCGUGGUAUCACAAUCAAGUCUACUGGUAUCUCUCUUUAUUAUGAAAUGUCUGAUGACUCUUUGAAGAGCUACAAAGGAGAGAGACAAGGGAAUGAGUACCUCAUCAAUCUUAUCGAUUCCCCUGGGCACGUUGACUUUUCAUCCGAGGUCACAGCUGCUCUACGUAUUACUGAUGGUGCCCUUGUGGUUGUUGACUGUAUUGAAGGUGUCUGUGUGCAAACAGAGACUGUUCUCCGUCAGGCUCUUGGAGAAAGAAUCAGGCCUGUCUUGACUGUUAACAAGAUGGAUAGGUGCUUCCUUGAGCUCCAGGUUGAUGGAGAGGAGGCUUACCAGACAUUCCAGAGAGUGAUUGAAAAUGCUAAUGUCAUCAUGGCCACCUAUGAAGAUCCUCUUCUUGGUGAUGUUCAAGUAUACCCAGAGAAGGGAACAGUUGCUUUCUCUGCUGGUUUGCAUGGUUGGGCUUUUACCUUGACCAACUUUGCUAAAAUGUACGCCUCUAAAUUUGGAGUUGAUGAGGCAAAGAUGAUGGAAAGACUUUGGGGUGAGAACUUUUUUGAUCCAGCUACCAAGAAGUGGACCACCAAGAACACUGGCUCUGGUACCUGCAAGCGUGGAUUUGUUCAGUUCUGUUAUGAACCCAUCAAGCAGAUAAUCAACACUUGUAUGAAUGACCAGAAGGACAAGCUCUGGCCCAUGUUGCAAAAGCUUGGUGUCACCAUGAAGUCUGAUGAGAAGGACUUGAUGGGGAAGUCCCUAAUGAAGCGUGUAAUGCAGACGUGGCUUCCUGCUAGCAGUGCUCUCCUGGAAAUGAUGAUCUUCCACCUUCCCUCUCCUAGCAAGGCUCAGAAAUAUCGUGUUGAAAACUUGUAUGAGGGUCCUCUUGAUGAUAUCUAUGCCAAUGCUAUCAGGAACUGUGAUCCUGAGGGUCCUCUUAUGCUCUAUGUUUCAAAGAUGAUUCCUGCUUCUGAUAAGGGUAGGUUCUUUGCUUUUGGUCGUGUCUUCUCUGGCAAAGUUUCAACUGGCCUGAAGGUCAGGAUCAUGGGUCCUAACUAUGUCCCUGGUGAGAAGAAAGAUUUGUAUGUCAAGAGCGUACAGAGAACUGUUAUUUGGAUGGGAAAGAAGCAGGAAACUGUUGAGGAUGUUCCUUGUGGUAACACAGUGGCCAUGGUUGGUCUGGAUCAGUUUAUCACCAAGAAUGCUACUUUGACUAAUGAGAAGGAAGUUGAUGCGCACCCAAUUCGUGCAAUGAAGUUCUCUGUCUCUCCUGUUGUUCGUGUUGCUGUUCAGUGCAAGGUUGCAUCUGAUCUUCCCAAACUUGUUGAAGGGCUGAAGCGUUUGGCCAAGUCUGAUCCUAUGGUUGUUUGUACAAUUGAAGAGUCGGGAGAGCACAUUGUUGCUGGUGCUGGAGAGCUCCACCUUGAGAUCUGUCUUAAGGAUUUGCAAGAAGAUUUUAUGGGUGGUGCUGAAAUCGUCAAGUCAGACCCAGUUGUCUCAUUCCGUGAAACUGUCCUAGAGAGGUCUUGCAGGACUGUGAUGAGCAAGUCUCCCAACAAGCACAACCGAUUAUACAUGGAAGCUCGACCCUUGGAGGAAGGUCUGGCUGAAGCCAUUGAUGAAGGUCGUAUUGGUCCAAGAGAUGAUCCCAAGGUUCGUUCAAAAAUUUUGGCUGAGGAGUAUGGAUGGGACAAAGAUCUUGCUAAGAAGAUAUGGUGUUUUGGCCCUGAGACCACAGGUCCUAACAUGGUGGUUGAUAUGUGUAAAGGAGUUCAGUACCUGAAUGAAAUUAAGGAUUCAGUAGUCGCUGGGUUCCAAUGGGCAUCAAAGGAAGGUGCAAUGGCCGAAGAGAACAUGAGGGGUAUAUGCUUUGAAGUUUGUGAUGUGGUUCUUCAUACUGAUGCUAUCCAUAGAGGUGGGGGUCAGAUCAUUCCAACUGCUAGGAGGGUUUUCUAUGCUUCUCAGCUGACUGCCAAGCCGAGGCUGCUUGAGCCAGUGUACUUGGUGGAGAUCCAAGCCCCAGAGCAAGCACUUGGUGGUAUUUACAGUGUUCUUAACCAGAAGCGAGGACAUGUGUUUGAGGAGAUGCAGAGGCCUGGUACUCCACUAUACAACAUCAAAGCAUAUCUUCCUGUUAUCGAGUCAUUUGGAUUCUCGAGCACCCUGAGGGCUGCAACAUCAGGACAGGCUUUCCCACAAUGCGUGUUUGACCACUGGGAUAUGAUGUCAUCAGAUCCAUUGGAACCUGGUUCCCAGGCAGCCACCCAUGUUGCUGAGAUCCGUAAGAGGAAGGGAUUGAAGGAGCAGAUGACCCCGCUCUCCGAUUACGAGGACAAGCUGUAAGCUAAGCUACAAAAUAAUAAUUAAUUGAAGAGGUUAGGUUACCCAUUUUAUGCAAUGCUGCUAGUUAGUUCCUUCUAUAUUUUGUUGUCCAUGGUUCGGACUUUUUAGAUGGACACAAUGGUUAUGUUUUUUUGUAUUCAAAUAGACAAUUGGCUUUGUUAAUGUUUUUGACCUCCAUAAUCUUCAUUGCUUCUAUUAUAUCUUUAUUUAUAUUUUCCUUAAAUUACUUGUAAUAUUUUGACCUUCUUUAGCAAAAUGCCAACAUAAUUAUUGGUGAUGGAUCAGAUCAUUUCUUUUAUCAAAAAGACCUCCGAAUUUAUAGAAGUUACGUUUGUAUUUGAUUUUUAAUAUCUAAAACAUGAUUUAUAUUUUCAAAUUAAAUUUUACUUUUUAGACUCUACCAGUAUUAAAAAAGACAUUAAUUUUUUAAAAUUGCUUGUUGUAUCAAAUUCUCAUCUUUUUAUAUGUCAUACUAUUAAUAAACUUAAGUUUCAUUUAAAUUAAAGUUAUUUUUUACAUUCCAACAUCGUCUUUACUUUUGAUACAUGAAUGUCUAAAGUUGUCUUAGUAAAUAUCUAAAAGUUAAACAUCUUAAUUUUUCACAACACUUGAACACUAUUGAACCAUUGAAGUUCUAAAUUACAUGCUAAUGAAAGGUGUAGUAUCCAGGUUCAAAAUUCACCAUAAUUAAAAUGUUUAAAUCUUUAAAUCGCACUAUAAGUUUGGUAGUUUUAAUUCAAUUUAUUAAUUCAUGAUUUGGAUUAUUUUUAGUUUAAUUCCUAAUCCGUUUAUGUUAAAGUAAUUUAUUCUUGUAAACUCAAUAAAAAUUCUCAAUCACUUUUCAAACCACUUUCAAGAACAUUCCAAAAUCACACUUUGCAUCUGAUUUCUCUCCUUUUUCAAAAGUUCCAAACGUUUAAUAAAAUUUUAUAGUAUUACUUGGUUGAGUAAAUAAGUGGAAAGAAAACAAAUUAAACGUGAUUUGUAGAGAAAACAGUACUAGAAAAACAAAUCAUUCUAACUAGAAGUGAUCAAGAAAUCUAUUUUCAUUUUUAAACUUUAAAAAAUAAUAAUGAAAACAAGAUUACUUUUUCUUUCAACUUUUACACUUUUCCAAUCACUUAUGAAAAAUAAAAAACUAUAAUUUCCUCUUACUUCUCAUGUUUUCAAUUUUCUUUCUACUCUAUCAAGCAAAGUUCAGUUCCUAUUUAUCAGGUAAUUUGUAAAAAAAACACAUGCAAUUACUUGGGAGAUUCAGAGCCGACAAUUUGACAUUGUUGAGAUCCAAUUAAAAUAGAUAAAGUCAAAACUACAACUCUGAUAUCACAUCAUUCACAACUAAAACUAAAAUCCAUUUCAAUAACCCUACUGUUUACGGCUUACGAGGCGGAGAACUAUUGCUACUGCUGUUGCUGCUGCUUCUUCCCCUCAUUGGCCUGCGCAUCAAAAUACUAUCCCUUAAUAUUUUUCAUCUAUUGGAUUUGAAAACCACAUUACUCUUAAACUCUGCAGUUCCCGAAAUGAGGCCAUCUCGGCCAGCCACACGCAGACAAUUUUCAUUAACAAGUCCAUCUGUUUUAAUGACUAGAGGUCCAGGUUAAUGUGUUUCGCAUUAAUCAUGACUUUCCGAGUCACAGACUAAUAGCCCUAGUACUUCCCCCUAGAAUUCAGAUAUCCUAAAAUAAUCUCUGUUAAAAUUCCAGCUUUGAAUAAAAGCAUAUAUCAUCCAAUUACUUGGCCAUAAUAAAUCAAUGUCCCAUUAGAAAAUUAUAAACAUUUUCAAUGCUUGCAAGAGUGUAUGUUGGGCCAUAAUAAAUCAAUGUUGCAUUAGAAAAUUACCUUCUAGGACUGCGGCUCCUAGAAAUCCUCCUCGGUACCUGUUAUAAUUGACAAUACAAAGGCCAUAUAUUAAAUUACACUAACAAAUAAGGUAAAGUACUCCUUGACAAUACAAAGGCCAUAUAUUAAAUAACACUAACAAAUAAGGUAAAGUACUCCUUGAAUAAACAAUAAUCACAAACCUUCCGGGGGCUAGGUGAUCUGGAAUAGGAUGAUGACCUCCCAUGUCUUGCUGCUGGUCCUUUACCUCUGUUUUAAAGAUAAUAACAUACAGAAGUAAGAUCCCGAGACAUGGAAACGCAAGGUUCACGUUGUCUUGUUAACGCGUAUAUCUUCUUCUACUAAACUCUAGCUUUAUAAUUAACGAGAAAAAGAAUACAGCCAGAAAGGAAUAUUACUAGUACUAGCAACACUUCUGACCCUGAAUACAUCAUUACUUAUAGUUACAAAUUCUCAAGCUGCCCAAGUCCAACUAAACAUCAAUGAGAAGGGGCAUGAAAAGAAGCUAGCACAAGCUCAAAUUUUAACCAAACUACAAGAAUUUUCACUCCAUAUAACUAAAUUUACUAAAACUUUGCUUUCUUUCUUGUAACCAAAUAGAGAGAAAUAACAAAAGAAAAGACAGAUAAUUUAAAAGCAAAUGCACCAGAUGGAAAGGUUUGGGUACUAAGGUAUAUUACCUACGAGGUGAGAAUGACCUUGAACGAGAACGAGCAGGUCUACGAAUUGGAGAACGGCUCCGUCUACGACCUAGAGGAGACCUUCUUGGAGGACUACGUGCACGUCUAGGAGGUGAACUGUAAUAAAACAAGAUAGCAUAAGAUCCAAAUUACAGUAAAUGGUAUAGUUCAAGUAAUCCGUCUCAGCUCAUCCACAGUUCAUACCAACAAAAGAUCAACACAAAAGUCUGUGAUAACAGCCUACAAUAUAAAUAAGACAUAAUAUGACUACAUAACAAACAAUUCUUAGUUUGUGUUUGAUUCCACUAUAACCUUCUUGAUUCCUCAGAUUCACUAAGAUCUUAUGCAUUCAUUCAUUUGUUCACAGGUUGUGAUCAGUUCACUUAUGCCUUAGGCAAUAAAGUUUAAGGCACGGGAAAAUAACUAUAUGUUUUAUUACCGGCGCCUUGGAGGAGGAGAACGUCUUCGGAUUGGACUACGCAUCCUGCGAGGAGAUGCCCUGUGAAGAUUAAAUGGAUCAAAUUCUUUCAAAAGCAGCUCAUAAUUACACAAGAUAUUAGCCUACUACAACUAUAAGACCUUGGGGGAGAUCUAAGCCGCCUUGGAGGAGACAAUGGAGAACGACCUCUGACAGGAGAUGCAGGGCGGCGCCUGGGAGGUGUUUCACCAUUACGACGAACAGGAGAAUCUACUCGACGACGUGGAGACUCUGGUGGUCGUCUGGGAGAUCCACCUCUUCGACCAACAGGUGAUCUCCGUCUAGGUGAGGGCAGGGAUUUCCGUUGAGGUGAAGCUGAUAUCCAUCAAUUAACAAGUCGAUAAACAUGUAUGUAAUAUACACAUCAACCAUGAAUCAAGCAGAACUUUUACUGUGUUUAACAUACACUCCCGUGGUCGCUUUGGCCCACCCCUCUCAAUAUCAACACUGGCAUUAUCAGAUUUAGGAACAUCUCCUUUAGCAGCAGAAGAAAUUGGCUUUGGGGGUGGUGAAACUUUUGGUCGUGGAGGAAGUGUAAACUUCGCUCUUACAACAUUGCCAUCAAUCUGAGCCUGCAUUAGAGCAACAAAUAACAUCAAUUUCACAAAAUACUCGUUCAGAAUACUGUUAAUAAUCUUACUUUGGCAUCUUAGAAAAACCUACACCAUCCAUGUAAAGUAGAGCUUUUUCAGCAUCUGCUCUUGUCUUGAAUUCAACAUAGCCAUAUCCUCGCGGAAGAUUAAGCUGUUAAUGUGAAGCAUGUCAAAAUAAUUCAGUAUUACUAAUAUCGAACACUAAAAUAUGACUGAUAUGAACUUACAACACGGUCCAUGGCUAGAUCCACAUUUACAACUUCACCAAAAUUACCUACAAAGAGAUGAAGACGAGUAUGAACAGCAUUGAACAGUUGAAUUGUCCAAUGGUUUAAAAAUAUAAAGGAAAUAAAUUCUCAUCCAAACAAAACGUUAACAAAAUGACAUUUACUUAAGUACCAAACUACCAUACAAAUUAUAUACAAUUAUAUGAAUAUAAUAGACAUGCAAAUCAAAAGAAUGCAUAGAAGAUGAAUUCCUGUAAGAUUGUGCAAAUUUGUCAAAGCCUAAUCUCCACCUACUUUCUGUUGAAACCCUAGAUAAAGUCAUAAAUAAAAAAAUUAUAAUAAUCUUCAGAUAAUGCAAAGACAAACUGAUGGUCAAAAGCUCUAAAUAAGCUCCCCCCUAGAAGCAUCAAUCCGGAAAAAGAAGCUGCUUUUGUCACCUGAUGGUCUCAUUGCCACAAAACCAAGGUGGGACCUAUUAAACAGGUUUGUGGAGUACAAAUUUGGCAGUUAUCACAGUGGACCAUUUAAGUUAAUCAUGCUCUCCAUGCUUCUACAUCUUUGGAACCUUGUAAUAACUGUGGGCAUAAUUCAUAAUAGUUUUCCAAAAGCAAUUUUUGGUAUCAAAGAGAGGAUAAAGAUUUUGGAACACAAGGACAAACUCAAAUACAAGAUAUAAUCCCACAACAGAAACAUAGUUCAACAUACAUGAUUUGUAGAGACAAAACUAGAGCAUAUACAAUAAUUAUCAAAGCUUCUAGAGAAAGACCAAUUGAAUGUCAUGUAAUUUUACAAUAUACCUGCAGAAAUACCAUGCCUAAAAGUUAACAUGUGAUCACAUUCUUGGGGAUCAUAUCAUGUCACAAAGUAUUUAACAUGCCAACCCUUCAAUAUAGAUUUUUUGUGUACCUACGCUCUCAAGAAGUAUCAACUAGUCUCAGUCAUGCAUUUAACUAUUCAAAGGUUAAAUGGUAAAGCAUUUACUGAAUAUUUCUCUUAGAUGGCCUUCAUUGACAUUCCUGCUCAGUGAGUCAACAUAGAGAACCAGAGACUCACGGAUGGGAGAAGCCUUCCUGAAAUCAGGGCAAGCAACAAACUUGAGCAUCAACUUCAGUCCUUCUCAAUUACAUAUUAUUUCAUUGUUUUUGUUAAUCUGGAAACAUAAUCAUGCACUUAAAUUUAUAUAAAACAUUGAAAUUCAAAUCAGGUCAAAGUUUCUCAGGCAGAAUUUGCUCAUGAUAGAACAAAGUAGGAAGAAAAUGAAAAUUCCCCAUAAAAGAAAACAAACAUCAUUUGUUUCCUGAGAAACUAAAUACAAAUUAAAUAACCAUUAUCCCAUGGAAGCAUAACUAACUUAGAAACUCUUAAGCACUGAUUCUCUCUACUACUCAAUUUCGAAAAUAUAAAACAGGUUAAAAACAAGCUUCAUUUCGAAAACAUUGUCAUUUUAUAAAUCACGUAUUUUAAACCUUCACAAACUCAAUUUUCCUAGUUGCUAAUAUUGUAGAACAUAUUAAAUACAUAUAGAAUAAAAUAGAAUCUUCCACGGAAAUAUAAAUUGAAAAUAUUUGGUAAAUCUGAACCGAACAUUGCUUUACCUUGGGGAUGGAGAUGGCUUUUUAGAUUGUGGUGGAGGGGAAUUACCUCGCCUAGAUCCAGGCUCAGGACUGCAAAAGGAAAAGAAGAGAAGAUAUGAAUUUAAAACUUUUAAAAGGAUGACAGCCACAUUUGAAAAAAAAAAGGUACAAAAGUUAAAAGUAUCUUAAAAUUGGCACAUCUAUAUCAGUAAAGAGGAUGGCAUUGACAAUUGAAGAAGACACUUUGAUCCAAAAAUCUAAGUUUUAUUUCGUUAGAUUGACAGCUUUACCACCUAUCAACUCGUAAUUUUGAUCCAUAUCUCGUACAUCAUACAAAUAUAUGAGCUUCUAACUAAGCCAGCUGCCAUGAAAUCUUUGAAUUCACACGUACUAUUCUACCAUGCAACCAUAUCUGAAUAAAGUUAAAUUAUUGCAUAAUAGAAUUGGAAUAACUUGAGCCCCAUGAACCAACUUUCUGAGUGUUUAUUAUUAGGUAGCCGUAGAGCAUUCAUUUUCGGCUAUUAGCAACAAUAAAGUGCAGUAACUUCAACAAUGCCAACACUAUAGCAAUCAAAGAGUACCUAAUCAGCUUAUAACUAAAUUCUUUCGUAUCUUUUUAGCUAUUAACAAUGUAAUCUUAACAAAAAAAAGUUUCAAAAACUUCAAAUUAGUUAAAUUCUUGAGAACAAUUUCAAAUUUGCUAAAUUCUUUGGUUUCCUUAAGCGAAAAGAAAUGACCUUCGGCGCUUAGGAGGGCUGCGACUUCGAGAGCGACCGCCACGGGAAGGAGAAGAAGAGAAGGAAGAUCUGGAGCGAGAGCUAGAAGGAGAAGCGGAUCUCGACCUGGACACAGAGCGAGAACGGGAACUAGACUUUGAGUCUGAGCCGGAAUAAGAGCGGGAACGAGACUUGGACCGCGACCGAGAACGGGAAGAGGAGCCAGAGAUAGAAGGUGAGCGACGGCCUCUCGUUGUCGGCUUCGCCAUUGCGGGAAUAGAGAGAAAGGAAGAGUCGAAAUUCGAAACCCUAGUGGGGCGUGGGUGAUGGUAGUAGAGAGUUCGAUAGUGUUUGGUUAAGUUUGAACCCGCGAUAGACGUAGAAAGUUUUCUUAUUUCCAAUAGUAUUUGUCCAUGUAGGCAAAAAGCAUGCUUCAUCAUUCGCCUAUUGAGGAUGAGACAAUUUUAUCCCACGGGGCAUGCCGUGUCAUGUUUCUUUUUAGGUUUUUCUGAGAGCAUGUUCUUGACACCCUUUUUAUUUCAAUUGGUUGAGCAUCGUUCUUCAUUCCUCCCUUGUCUAUUUCGUGGUGAGUUGAAUUAGCACUAAAAUUAAUUUCAUACUCGCCAGAAUUUAUUAUAUUUAAUAAUUAAAUAUAUUUUAUAUAUCGUUUGGCUUACUCACAAUUUACUUGAAAUUUAAAGCGUGUAAAAAGAUGAAUUUAAAGAUUAAAUGAAAUGUUAAAACUUAGAAAUUUGCUUCGCUAAAAUAUAAGAAAUCAUCACAAUUUGCCAAGAUUUUCUCAGUGGACAAUUUUGACUUGCCUACUUUAGGGUCUUAUAUCUUUUAGUACAGGACUCGUACAAACGAGAUAGAAAUUCAAAAUGAAAAUACACACUUCAUACUAUGAAAAACAUCUAAAUUUUGAAACAUGAGCAUUUAAAGAUAGAUUUCUAAUGUAACAAAGUUAGUUACUCGAAACUGUCAAAACUCAUACCUUAAAAACUUCAAAUGUUAUUUUCUCUUGGGUAAACUACAAAAAUAGUCAAUUUUGUUUGCCUCAGAUUACAUUUUAGUCACUUAUGUUUGAAAUGUUACGUUUUAGUCACUUAUGUUUGAAAUGUUACGUUUUAGUCACUUACGUUAUCAUUUUGUUACGAAGUGGUCACUCUACCAUUGAACUCCAUUACCUCCCUAACGGUAAUCCUACGUGGCAGUCCAAAUGGGUUUUAAAUGCCAACUUGGAUGUCCAGUUGUUGGAAUGAAAAUAGGUUUUUAAUUAAAUAAAUUCAAUUUGGAUUGCCACGUAGGACAUCCAAGUUGGCAUUUAAAACCCAUUUGGACUGUCACGUAGGACCACCAUUAGGGAGGUAACGGAGCUUAAAGAUAGAGUGACCACUUCGUAACAAAACAAUAACGUAAGUGACUAAAACGUAACAUUUCAAACAUAAGUGAUUAAAAUGUAAUCUAAGACAAACAAAAGUGACUAAUUUUGCAAUUUACCCUUUUCUCUUAAAUUACUCUAUCAAAAUGGAUAUCACAUAGACCAUUUUAAAGAUCUUGAAAUGGAAUUUCAUCUGGUACUAACAAAGUCGUCGCAACCUCACCAAAAAGCCACUAAAAUUAGGUAACUAUUAAAUUAACCCAAAUGAAAUACAUGAGUUUUAUGAAAAAUAUAUUAAAACACAAAGAUUCCAAAAAAUCUAAACCAAAACUCACUUUAAUUACUAAAAUAUAAAAUCAAUUUGCAUUUUUUUCUUUUCUAGGGUUAUCUUCCCCCAAAUUCCCAAAACCACCGUCUAAAAAGAAUACAAUAAAUGAUUAUAUCUUUAUUCUUCUUCUUCUAUUCUUUUAUAUGAAAAAAGCCUAUAAAAUACACAUAAAAUUGGACUUUAUGAAAAAUGGGCUAAUAGAUCACAUAAUUAAUUCGGCGUUUAAAAUAAUACCUAAUUAAAAUUUGUGGGUUGUAACACCCCUCACCUAGUUCGAUCACCGGACCCUAGUUUUAGGAUGCUAUUAUAGUUAUCGAAACAUUCACAUGCAAAUCAUAACAUUAAAUUCAAUUUAAAUCAAGUUGUUCUAAAUACAUGCAUAAUAGAAGUUAUGAACCAAAUAGAGGCUAAUUCGAACAUACAAACAUAGUUUAAUAGAUUUGAGCAUGAUUAAGGACCAAUUUCAAAAUUUGACAUUAGGUAUUGAUACAAAAGGAACAAGUACUGAUAUUUUUAUCAAAGGUAUCGAUACAAAAAUAUCAGUAUCAAUAUUGUUUUGGCAUUUUGCCAUUUUCAAAAAAUUGUUCAUUUGGUCAAGUAUUGAUACUUUGGUCCCUAGUAUCGAUACUUUUACUUAGAUGGUCAAAAUUACAAGUUUAAAAGUUCAAUUCAUGCCCAAUUCAACUACCAUAUUAAGAAUGCAUGCAAACACACACAAACAACUACAUGAACUUAUUCAAUACAUCCCAAACAAACAUAAUUAAUGUCACACCCCUAAAUCAUCUCCAUCGUUAGAACAGGGUCACGGGAUAUUAUGACGAUUAACAUAUCCAAUAAUAUUUAAAUAAUUCAAAAAUUAAUUUAAAGAUCAUAAUCAAUGUCCAAUCAAUAAUCAUAGCGUUCAUACAAAAAUGGAACUUGAAUCAAGCCUACAAAACCUAAAAAUCAAUUUAGAAACAAGUAAGGAUUAAUCUAAAACAAAACAGAAAAAUAUGAAAAUAAUGUAAACAAGGGUCACACGGCAGUGUGACAAAACCUAGACCAUGUGAACAUUCGAAGUUUGGACACACGAUCGUGUUUCAGCUCGUGUGUCCGUCCGUGUGGGUAUUCGAAAUAGGGCCACACGGUUGUGUCACAAGUUGUGUGCCAAACCGUGUGUACAUUCGAUGUUGAGUCACACGGUCGUGCCGUAGGCCGUAUCUUAGACCAUGUAGCAUACUGACUUGAAAUACACGCCGUGUGGAGUGGCGUGUGUGGCACACGGCCGUGUACAGCAUAAGUUGCCCCUAAAACAAGCUAAAACAUUAACCUUUCCUUAUACAACAAACCAUACCACUUCUAAUCAUUUUCACAUGCUUAAAACACUUUAAAACAUACCAAAUCAACCAUCCUAUAAACCUAACUAAUAUAGCACCAAAAGGCACCACAAUUCAUACACCAAAAUAAAUCUAACCAACAUUUCAACUACAUUAAUUAAGCACAUAUCAAACAUACCAAAACCAUUUCAAACAUACAUGUCAUUCAACCAUGGUUUACCUAUCAUCACAAGGCAUGCAUAAGUAGUAUUCAACAACUUAUCAAUUUAUACCAUCAAUUACAAUCCAUUAUCUAUAAACAUUAAGGCAUACAUAAGCUUGGCACAACUCAAACAUACCAAAUCACCAAACUACAAUCAAGCCCUAUUACAUGCCAAAACACACAUAUAUCGUUUAAUUUAAAUGUUUAUCCCAUAUACCCUCAUUAGUACCACAAGUUAACAUCCAAAUCAACUCAAACUCAAUGCCAUAAAUUCAUACUUUAAACUUACAUCACACAUCUACCAUUUAACCACUUCAUUCACACUUCAAUGAACCAAAAGCCAUCUAAAUCACAAGGCAUUCACAAGUGAUCAAAACACAUACUUACAUAUAUACAUUUAUAAGCCAACAUCAAGGUAUAUAGGCAAAUAAACUUAAACCACAACACAUUAGCAAAUAGCAUAAAAUAAACUCCUAUUACAUGCCAUUUAUAACUGUUAACCAAAACUACCAAUAUGACGAAUGAAUAGUGUGAUGGUGCUCCGACGAGAUUCCAACCGGUCGAGUUUCCGAUCAUCUACAAAAAAAGGAAAAACAACUAUAUAAGCAAGUAGUGCUUAGUAAGUUCGUAAAACGGAAACUUAAACUUACUGAAACACAUUAUGUUUAAAACAACUAAGUACAAAUUCAUUAACCAUUAGCAUAGUAUCCUUUCCUAAACACACCACAUCACAAGGUUAAAAAAAUGUAUUAAUGUAUGUGUAAUCCAAUCAAAUCAUGAAACAUAUCAUAACAAGUUUUCAAUAUGAAUUUCAUUAUUCAUAUAUUACACUGACACUAUUUUCAUUUCGAAUACAUAUAUCAACAUUUUCCCUUUCAUCUUUUAAUAACUUAAAUCAUUCCAUAUACAUACAUAUUCGAUUUAAAAUUUAAUCACUCGUUAAAGCAAAUGAAACAUAUGACUUUAUUAUGGCAUAAAACAUUACCACUACACAUAUUUAAAACUCAAUUAAACCUUUUAGUCACAUAAUAAACUUCAAUCCAUUAAUUUAAUACUCAUAAGUUCUUAUUCACAUACCUGACUGUAGAAUAUUGAUAUAAUAGCCAUUCAUUUGCUAUCAUUUUCAACCUUUCCAUUGUUUCGAGGAUGCCAUGGUAUCUUUCAACCAAGGUCUUUUACUCUCGAAAUGAUGCCAUAAUAUCUUUCAGUCAUGGUCUUUCUCUCUUCUCAAAUCAAGUAAUUUGAUGAAUCAAUCAUAAAUAGAUAAGCAUUAAAUUAUAAAACAUAAUCAAAUAACUACGAAACUAACUUACGAGCUUACCUAGAUUAUGCUUUUGGUUGACUUGUAGGGACUAAUUCGCGAUUUUUUCUUUUUCCCAAUUAUUCUCUAUAUGAUUCAAUUCUUAAUAUAUAUAAUGAUUAAAUUCAAUAUAUUAAUUUCAAAUAUACUAUCAAACUUAUUUCUAUGCAUAUACACUUAAAUUUUCAUUGUUUACAUAUUUUCCCUAAACUUUUACAUUUCUUUCAAUUUAGUCCCUAAACCCGAAAUUCCAAAUUUAUAAAAAAUUUCACAAUUUCUAAUGCUAGCCGAAUUUCUUCCUACACUAGUACAGUCCAUAUCCAUUCAAAAUUCACAACAAUUCCACAUUAAUUUUAAUAUUUUAUCAAAUUAGUCCUUUAACUAAAAACUAACAAAAAUCAUUUCAUAAACUAGUUUAAAUCAACAACCAAUACCACAAAUUCAUCAUUUAACAUCAAGAAUAACUAAGAUUCAUUCAUGGUAAAAUCUAAAAUCUUUAACAGUUUUGAAAAUGAAGAUAAAAGUUAGCUGAACUUAAUUGCAACAAUCUCAAAAACAUAAAAAUUAUAAAAAAAACAGAUGAAAAAUGGCUUACCAUGCAAACAAAUUAGCUUGACUGAAACUUCCAAGUUACAACAAUGGUGGCUCGGCUAUAGGAUGAAGAAAUGAAACAAAAAAUGAAACGUGUUUUCUUUACUUUUUGUUUUAUUCAUUUUAUAAAUUAUUAUAUUUAAUAAUUAAACUAAAUAUAAACAUAUAAAAUAUAACAAAUUUUAAUGUUCCACUUUCCACACUAAUUAAAAAUGGCCUAUUUGUCAUAUAAAUCCUUCCUCAUUCACUAAUUUAACCAUUUAAUCAUUGAAAGUCAAAAGUGAUUAAGUUUAACAUCUUUUACAAUUUAGUCUUUUUUUUCUUUAAUUAACUAUCUAAACAAUAAGAUUUCCCAUCCGAACCUUCACAUAUCAAAAUAAUAACUCAAUAAAUAUUUAAUAAAAAUAUUUACGAGCUCGGUUUACAGAAAUGAAGUUCUGAUACCUUACUUUCUAAAAUCAUUUGACUUAAGGAAUUAACCACUUGAACUUGACCAUACGAUAAAUUAACGAAAUUUAUUCAAUCAAAAUUUCAAUGUAAUUCUAUAUUUGGCUCGUAAAUAUUAAAUAAUAAUGUUUAUAGACUCACUUGUCUGAUUUGUGGCCCUGAAACCACAGUUUUCGACACCACUAAAAAAUUAGUUGUUACAAUUCAACCAUUCAAACACAUUCAUUCAAUGAUACUUAGACAUACACACUCAUCUAUACAUGUUAUACCAAAGUGUUAAAUAUUAGUUUAAUAUAUAUAUUCAUCCUUACCAACCAAUGAACACCAAACCAGUUCUCCAAAGCAUUUCAUCAUGGGCAUCUAUACUCACAUGCAAAUUUCAUCAAUUGCAAAACAUACACUUCCCAAAAUUCAAAUGCAUGCAUGCACCUAUCAAGGGCUAAGUGCAUACCAUGCCCCAUUCAACAUAUAUAUACAUGUCAUUCCAUCAUCAAUCCAACAUCCACUUCCGCCUAACAAAAGACACACACGUAUAUAUAUGAAGAUAUCCUUAAACAUAUUAAAAGUAAAUGAUUAAUUUCAUAUGGACCAAGACCAUUUACAUUCAAGAGAUGUUAUUGUUUAACAUUCAACCUAUAUGCAUUUAUAACUUUUUACAUAUGCCAAAUUAUCAUAUAUCUCCCUUUCAAAACAACUAGUUCAACAUUUCAACAAUUUGGUAUUUUCCAAUAAGCUAACCAAUAUGCCUCAAUAGGCAACAUACCAAAAUCACUUAUUCAAACUUAGUCUAUACUUUCAUACUUUUAAACCAUUCUUCAUCAACAUAUACCAUAAUUCAAAUAUUAUCCAAGUGCAAACCAAACUAUGCAACCAACGUAAACAUAUAUAAGUACACCUAUAAACAUGCCACAAAAUCGAGCUUUAAACGAUACAAAGACUAUCGAAUCAAUACCAAUAUAGUGUGAGCUUCUUGAUUAUCCACCUGACAUGUUCCGCAAGUUAAUGAUCUAUAGGAGAAUGGAAACAACAAGGUAAGCAUAUCAAAUGCUUAAUAAGUCCACAUGAAAAUAACUAAACAUACCUUGCCAUUUCAACUAGUUAAAGUAAUUUGAAACACAAUUGUACAAAACAUGGCACUCAUUUGGCAUCCUUAUGCAUACAUAUACAACUUCACAAAUUCAUCACUAGGUUAAUCUAUUUAAAAUAAGAUCAUAUUGUCUACUUCAUACACAAGUACAAUCAUGCUAUUCAACUUUGUUCAUUUAUAAACAUAUCAAUCUCAUAACUUAAUACAAUUUAGCCUGAUAUAGCAUUUUACAAUAUUAAGAUGAGUUCAACGUAUAACAGAGUAAUAUAGCAUUAUAACAUGUAAUAUAUUAUUCAAUAUUUUACCACUAGUAUCAUUUUUUUCAUCAUAUAACCAAUUGAGCAUGUGACUCAUAUCAUUUCACUGUCAUUUCUCUUUUUCAUUAUUUUAGUAGCCCAAUGAACUAUAAUAAAUAGAUUCGGAUUCACAGGUAACUACACCACACUAGAAUGCUCGUAAGAGCUCAAACUACAACACACCAGGGCACCAAAGUGCAAAGCCUAUAGGCAUCAUAUAAUCAGUAUCAAUACAUAUCUUUACCGCACCAGUGUAAUUCGAUAAUUCGUAACAAAUGUUGGAUUCUAUUAUAAUCAGUAAUAUCCCCGUACCAACACAUAUAUCCCAUACAACGCACAAAUAACCUUAUUGGCAUGCCAAUCGUAUCCUAUCCUUUAAUACAUUCACUUGGGCAUUUUUACCAUAUACUAUUCAUUACGAUCCCAACAACCAUAUACACACUUUUCACUUUUCAAAUAGCAAUCCAUUUACAAUUUUAACCUUGUAACAUCAUCAUAAACAUACUAUCCAAUCAUAUAACAAUGUCACAUUCAUUCAAUAUCAUUUAUUUAUCCAUAUUUACCAUUUAAUUUAUAUUUUAUGAUUUAGUCCAUUUGAUGCCAGAAAACAAUAAUUACAUAACAAUUCAAACUACAAGUAAAACAAUAUAAUACAAACAUAUUAUGUGUAAUACCAAUUUUGGCCUGGCCUAUUAACGAAUAAACCCAAAGAAAAAAUACAAGCCCAAUAAACGGGCCCAAUAGCUAAUUCCCAAUCCAGGCCCGAAACUAAUGGAAAAUGGAAGGGUUGAGAAACCCUAGCAGUAGCCCCCGCCUCCAGCAGUCCCGAUCGGCGCACAACUCGGAGCUAGAGGCCUCCUCCGCGAGAGUUGCGCCUCCACAUGCGCGGCACCCCUCAGCAACCUUCAUACCUGCGGCAAAAGCGGACUUAAACGAGAGUAAACGCAGUAAAUAAGGAAAAAAUAAUUCUUUCAUCAUUUUUUGUGGGGUUUACUCGGCUAUAUCAGGCCGAUUUCAAUCUGUAAAUGGGGGAACAGAGAAAUAGACAAAGAAAUCGAAAGAAAAACAGAGAAUACAAAGUUUUUUUCUUAAGGUGAAUCGGGUUCCUAUAGUUUUAUUUUUAUUUUUUUUCUUUUGCGUUUUAUGGUUUUUUAAAGAAAUAAAAAGAAGAAAACGGAAGAGGAAACUUACCUUUUCGCUGAAAUCGCCGAGUUGGUGCCCUCUCCGUCGCGAUUGGAGACCGGGCAUCGACGGAGGCCGUGCGUAUAAGGCUGACCGACGGCGCUCAAGGGUUUGGAGAAGCCCUAAAAGAACAUAUGUUCUUUUUGCUUAAGAGAAAAGAGAAAUAGUUUAAAUUUUUUUUAAUUUUAAGAAUGGACAAAGCAGGCGCCGUUUGGUUUGG